GCGUCAGCCUGCGAAGUCCCAGACUACGAAUCUGGGGGUCAGGAGUUCGAAUCUCUUCGGGUGCGCCA
rnacentral:tRNA from 1 species